rnacentral:misc_RNA from 1 species
UCCGGUUUGUCACCGGCAGUCUCGUAUGAGUCCCCGGCAUUAUCCGCUGGCAACAUACGACGAGGGUUGCGCUCGUUGCGGGACUUAACCCAACAUCUCACGACACGAGCUGACGACAGCCAUGCACCACCUGUGACCGUGCCCCGAAGGGAGACCGUGUUUCCACGGCUGUCACGGACAUGUCAAGCCCAGGUAAGGUUCUUCGCGUUGCGUCGAAUUAAACCACAUGCUCCGCUGCUUGUGCGGGCCCCCGUCAAUUUCUUUGAGUUUUAGCCUUGCGGCCGUACUCCCCAGGCGGGGCACUUAAUGCGUUUGCUGCGGCACAGAACUCGUGGAAUGAGCCCCACACCUAGUGCCCAACGUUUACGGCAUGGACUAC